UCUGUGUCAGGGGUUCUCAAACUUUUCCACCCCAAAGUCCACAUCUUUACAACUAGCAAGUGUAGCAGGUGGGGUUUUGCGACUCCACCUACGUUGCUUGUGAAGCUGCGUGGCCGCGUUUAAAUUACUGGGCGGCCCCUUUGUACCCUAGGGGACGACUACUUUUGGUGCGCUUCCUGUCCCCCCUCCUUUCUGCUGUGACUUCCGUGCCGGCAGCGUUCAGCGUGGAGUUUAGCGUGACUGUUUGUAUUACUUCUCAUGAGUUUAAGUUGCGGGCUCGUAUUCGAUUGCCGGCUCAGCGCUGUGGUAUGCAUCUCUGAUGUUGCCUGGGCACUUUCACUUUAGAAAGUGUUAGUGAUUGUGCUGCCUUGCUGCGGGCAUUGUCUGCUGGAGCUGUUUGCUGUAGCCAUUGUCAGCGGGAGCUGCUGUGUGUCAUUACCUGCUGCUGUCUGCUGUGGCCAUUGUUUGCUGUGGCUGCUGGCAGAAAUUGAUGCUGUGCCGGAGCUGGGGGCCAAGCAUCUGACUUGGGGAUGCGGAAUUCUAUUCACCUUUCCUGUAGUGUGGAGCACGUUGGGUGUGAUUGAGAUGUGUGGCACUGACAUGUGUGGUUUGUAGUGUAGAGGAUAUUUCUAUCCCUGUACUUCCUUCUGUCGUGGUAAGCCCUUAACCCAGUUCCUUCCUAAAUUGUUGCUGGUAGUUUAAAUAAAAUAUUGCUAGUUCUUUUUUUAUAUUGAUUCUCCAAGAAGGGAAUUCCUGGUCUGCCUGGUGGAAAAGAUGUUUUAAAAUAAUUGUCAAUAAAUCUCUAUUAAAUGAUUGUA